GUGGGGCUGGGAUGGCAGGCACCGCCUCUGGCGGACCCACUGGCGUCUCUCUGCUGAGUGACCGAAGAGCUCGGGGUCCGACUGUCUGCCUGCUUCUCCCUGCGCGUGACUGACAGCCACCCGGCUGUCUGUCUGUCUGCCUGCCUGCCCGUCUGCCUGGCUGUCUGUCUGUCUGCCUGGGUGGCCAGCUAUCUCUUUGCUUGACUUCUCCUGUCUGACUGGCGGGCCAGCCCUUGGCUGCUGUCGGUCCAUCGUCGGUGCAGCUGAUCGGUCCCUGCCCAACAACCUCUGUCUUCUGUCCAUGUGUGACCUCUUUGGGACGUGACUGAUGGUUGCCUUUGCCUCUGCGUGGCCCGCCUGCCCGGAGCCCAGCUGCCGUCCGUCUGGGUGACAGGUCUUGUGCUGUCUGGUAGGUGACUUGGGGCAGGUUACAGCUUCCCACCCCAGUCCCCUGCCUGUUCUCCCAGACCCCCAUCCCUCACGCCAAGCCCUGGGAGCCCACCGGAUUGCCGGAAGCACAGAGAGAAUGGAUUUCUGAGAAAGAAGUAGGACAGCAGGCUCUGGCAGGCAGCAUGCUCUGCGGCUGGGCUGCCCCUUUGCUCCUGCUGAUGCUCCAGGGGGCCUGCGGCUGCUCAGACCUCGUCUGCUACACCGAUUACAUCCAGACGGUCACCUGCAUCCUGGAGACAUGGGCCCCGCACCCUGGCACGCUCACCCUCACCUGGCAAGACUCAUAUGGAGAACUGGAGGACGAGGUCACCUCCUGCAGCCUCUGCUGGUCCACCCGCAACGCCACGCAUGCGGAGUACACGUGCCACAUGGAUGUGUUCCAAUUCAUGGCCGACGACGUUUUCAGUGUCAACAUGACAGACCAGACCGGCAACCACUCCCAGGAGUGCGGCAGCUUCAUCCUGGCUAAAAGCAUCAAGCCAUCUCCCCCUUUCAACGUGACCGUGACCUUCUCCGGACAAUAUAACAUCUCCUGGAGCUCCAAUUACAAUUUCUACGCGCUGAAGGGCAAACUUCAGUAUGAGCUGCGGUACAGGAAGCUUGGAGACCCCUUGGCUCUGAGUCCAGGGAAAAAGCUGAUCUCAGUGGAUUCGAGAAGCGUCUCUCUCCUCCCCUUGGAGUUCCACAAAGGCUCAAGCUACGAGCUGCAGGUGCGGGCAGGGCCCCAGCCUGGCUCCUCCUUCCAGGGGACCUGGAGCGAGUGGAGUGACCCAGUCGUCUUUCACACCCAGCCAGAAGAGAUAAAGGGAGACUUGUACCCUCAACUGCUUCCCAUCCUGGUCCUCGUAUGCCCCAUCCUUGUCUUCUUAGGCCUGAAGAUCCACCUGCCUUGGAGGCUAUGGAAAAAGGUGUGGGUGCAGGUGCCCAGCCCAGAGCCCUUCUUCCAGCCCCUGUACAUGGGCCACAGCGGAGACUUCAAGAAAUGGGUGGGCACCCCCUUCACUGCCUCCAGCCUGGAGCUGAGAUCCUGGAGCCCAGGGGUGCCCUUGUCCCUGGAGAUGCACAGCCAGUGCCCACCGCAGACUGCAGCCAAGGGGCUGGUGCCCACAGAGCUGCCGGAGCCCCCAGACCUGGUGGAAGCCGACGGGGUGCUUGAGCCGGGCUCCUGGGGCCCAGCCCGCUCCACCGCCGGCAGCUUGGGCAGCUCAGCUCACAGCCAGGAGAGGGACCGGCCGUACGGCCUGCUAUCCAUCGACACGGUGACCGUGGUGGACGCAGAGGGGCUGUGCGCCUGGCCUUGCACCUGCGGGGAUGACGGCUACCCAGCCCUGAACCUGGACACCGGCCUGGAGCCUGGCCCGGGCACGGAGGACUCGCUCCUGGGCACGGGGGCCACCGUCCUAUCCUGUGGCUUCGUCUCAGCCAGUGGCCCUGCCGGGCCGGGGGGCCCCCUGGGCAGCCUCCUUGACAGGAUAAAGCUGCACCUCAAGGACGAAGAGGGUUGGGCCCCCGGGCCGCCCUGGGAUGGCGAGUCGCCCCGAGGGGUGUCGGACAGCGAGGCAGGUUCGCCCCCAGCUGGCCUGGACAUGGACACGUUUGACAGCGGCUUCGCGGACUCUGACUGCGGCAGCCCCGUGGAGCAUGACUUCAGUAGCCCCAGGGACGAAGGGCCCCCCAGGAGCUACCUCCGCCAGUGGGUGGUCACGGCCCCUCCACCUGCAGGGCCUGGGCCCCAGGUCAGCUAGUGAGGCUGCCUGGCCGUCCAGAGCCGGCCAUGCCACUGAGCCACGAGCCACGGACGGGGUCACCUGGGCUGAGGUGUAAAGAGGCCUGCAGCCCUCGGUCUCCCAGAUGGGACCCCUGAGCCUGGUGUUUACAGCGCGUGUCUGGGGCUCAGGUGCCCACUGGCGUGGCUGCGCGUGUGAGUAGCCUGCGUGCCUGUGGACACGGAGCUCGCCCGUGGUUCUGCCAUAUUCCCAAUGCCACUCGUGUGUCUGUGCCGGCGUGAGCUUCCUGUGUGCGCGAAUGUGAGCGGCACGCGUGUCUGUGGGCACGUGAUGACAGUCUCCCUCCCUCCGAGGCACGUGGGUGACCCCCGGGUCACGUGCCGAGAGGCUGGUCCAGUGCUGCCCACUGGGCCUGCUGGGACCAGGGCACUGCCUGGGACAGACACCAAGCCCAGCCCCCCAGGUCCUGCCUGCAGAGCCACAUAAAGUCCAAACUGUUCCUUACCGCCUUUCAGGGGGAGGGGAAGGGGACCAAGCGAGCCCACAGUGACCCCGGGGGUGGGAAGAUUUUGGGGGGAGCCGGUGGACCUGGCUCUGAAUCCUGACUCUGACACCUCCUGGCUGUGCCUUCUUGGGCUCCGAGGGGCAGGAUAUCCAUCUGACAAAUGAAGGUGCAGAAGGGGCCGCUGACUUGCCUGAGGUCACACACUGAAUUAAAUGUCAGAGUCAGAACUUGAACUCUGGGCUCCUGAUCCCAAGUCCAGCUAUCCUCACCUCGCUCCGCUGGAAGGCACCUAGGUCAGGGGCGAAGAAGCUCUCAGCAAACACCUGUGGGUGCCUGUGCUUCUGCCCUCACAGCAUCGUUGGGGUAGCUGACCCCAGCUCUGGGAGUCACCCAGGCCUGGCCAAGAGAGCAUUCUAUCCUCCUGGCCUCAGGGCCAGUUCAGGGUCAGACAUGUGACCAAGCUGGUCCAUACGCUUUUCCUGCUGGGACUGCUCAGCUGUAGGGCUAGACUGAGCCUGGAGCUGCUGGGUGGUGGGACCGGGGAGGGGGGCACCAGGAAGAAGCAGCUCACCUAAUAUGAGGCCAACACACUGGAAACCAGAGCUGGGAAGUGGGCAUAUACUCCUGGUAAUAUCCUCUUAAGCUCCUGGAUCCAGCCAUGCCUGAAACUACAUUCCCCCUGGACUUUUGAGGUAGAUGAGUAUGGAAGUCAUACUGUUCACCAAGUAUUUCCAGCUCUUGGCCUUCUGCCCCGCCUUGUGGUCAGAUGGCACCACAUGACCAGGAUUGGCCAAUGAGUGGUGAGCAGAAGUGGCAAGUCUCACUUCUGGACCAGAGCAUUGAACUGACAGUCGUGAUGCCCUUCAGAGUGUUCCUCUGUGCCACAGUGACCAGUGAUGUGUGAGAUGGUGGCUUCUCCAUCAGCCCGGGGCCUCGAGUGGGGAGAUGUGGAGCAGAACUUCUAGUUCACCUGUGAUG